rnacentral:rRNA from 1 species
GACGAACGCUGGCGGCGUGCUUAACACAUGCAAGUCGAACGGAAAGGCCCUGCACUUGUGGGGUGCUCGAGUGGCGAACGGGUGAGUAACACGUGAGUAACCUGCCCUUGACUUUGGGAUAACUUCAGGAAACUGGGGCUAAUACCGGAUAGGAGCUCCUGCUGCAUGGUGGGGGUUGGAAAGUUUCGGCGGUUGGGGAUGGACGCGCGGCUUAUCAGCUUGUUGGUGGGGUAGUGGCUUAACAAGGCAUUGACGGGUAGCCGGCCUGAGAGGGUGACCGGCCACAUUGGGACUGAGAUACGGCCCAGACGCCUACGUGAGGCAGCAGUGGGGAAUAUUGCACAAUGGGCGGAAGCCUGAUGCAGCAACGUCGCGUGCGGGAUGACGGCCUGCGGGUUGUAAACCGCGUGCGCCUGUGACGAAGCGUGAGUGACGGUAAUGGGUAAAGAAGCACCGGCUAACUACGUG